AUACGUAGGGGGCUAGCGUUAUCCGGAAUUACUGGGCGUAGAGGGUGCGUAGGUGGUUUCUUAAGUCAGGAGUGAAAGGCUACGGCUUAACCGUAGUAAGCCUUUGAAACUGGGAAACUUGAGUGCAGGAGAGGAGAGUGGAAUUCCUAGUGUAGCGGUGAAAUGCGUAGAUAUUAGGAGGAACACCAGUUGCGAAGGCGGCUCUCUGGACUGUAACUGACACUGAGGCGCGAAAGCGUGGGGAGC
rnacentral:rRNA from 1 species